AUGCUUUGCAAAGUAGGCAUUAAGAAUAUGAAAGAGAACUUGCAAUUCCAUUUGUCAAUGUGCAGUGUCAAGGAACACAUUUACAUUUUGCAGGUAGCUGCGACAUCAACGGAUGGAGGGUACACCUGCUGUAGCGGACUUCGUCGUCUCAUCGACAAGCUCACCUGUGACAGUACACCAGCUGCAGCUCUGGGAGGGACGGUGUGCAUCGGAUGGGACCCGGCACGGCGCGCGGCCGAUGAGGAAGAGAUGAGGAAGAGGACCAGCGGAGGGGGCUUGACAAGGUGUCGCUGGCUGCCUUGCCGGUGUCCAGAUUCAGGGCAGAGUGCGUGGCGGCACCAAGAAGGUUGGGGAAGAUUGCGCGAUAUACCUGUGCACCAUGCAGGAUGGAUCCGGCAUGGCGGCCGGGCCGACAAGGAAGAGGACCAGUGGAGGGGUGCUCGACAAGGCGGCGCUAGCACCAAUGCCGGUGCUCAUAUUCAAGGCAGGGGCAAGGCGGAGGCGCGCGAUGGCGCAAAGGUUGGUAGCUGCUGCAUACGUGUUGCUUUAUGA
rnacentral:rRNA from 1 species